rnacentral:rRNA from 1 species
GAUGAGCAUGCGUCCCAUUAGCUAGUUGGUAAGGUAACGGCUUACCAAGGCUACGAUGGGUAGGGGUCCUGAGAGGGAGAUCCCCCACACUGGUACUGAGACACGGACCAGACUCCUACGGGAGGCAGCAGUGAGGAAUAUUGGACAAUGGGCGCAAGCCUGAUCCAGCCAUGCCGCGUGCAGGAUGACGGUCCUAUGGAUUGUAAACUGCUUUUAUACGAGAAGAAACACUCCGACGUGUCGGAGCUUGACGGUAUCGUAAGAAUAAGGAUCGGCUAACUCCGUGCCAGCAGCCGCG